CUGUGACCCUGUGAACAAAUCCAAAAGACUCAUGAGUGGGCUACGUGCCCCUUGACAGAGAAAUGCAUCUGCAGAGGAUAAUACACAACAUGGCCAAAGGUUUAAGCAGCCCAAGGACAGAGCACCAUUGGUAUAUUUUGCCACAAGAUUUGCCCUAGUCCCAUCACUAAUAUGGAUGUGAUUAAAAAAUAACAACAACAAGAACUGCAGGAUUAUGUAAAAAAUGGCAGCAAUUAUGGUGUUACCAUAAUGAGAACAAUUAGUAUAGCAAAACCUAAGUUUGAAUUGGAAUGCAUGCAUAUAUCUUCUCAGAAGGUCUCUGUGGUAUCUUUGAUCUACCUUCUGACUGUUAUAAUGUUCUGCUUUCUGCUAGCAGAAGUGAUUGCCACGUGAAAGCAUUCAGGCAUAGUUAUCCAAGGUUCAAGUGUGGAAAAAAUAAACUUGUAGUUAAAGCAGCUGAUCAUGGAUCAGGCUAGCUGAAAAUACUCUAAAAAAAAGCCUUUCAAAGAGAAAGCUAGGUUUUGGAUUAAACUAAAAUUCUCAUGGAAAGUGUUUUCAUUGGUCAAAAAUGUUUUUUGUUCAUUGUCAAGAGAAGAAAAUACCCGCAAGCCAUUUUUCCAAAUUUUUUUGGCCUUACAUUUUUCAGAUGUUAGAAUGUAUUGGCAAAAGUUGAAAUCCUUAGUCUAGGAAAAAGAGUACCAUUUUUUGGCGAUCACUAUUAAAAAAAUCUGUAUACACUUACUCCCUCUGUGAUUUUUGGAUACAACAGUUAAAUCUCUUGGGAUCAGACAGAAGGCAAGAGACAGUCCCUGUAUGAAAGACUGAACAGACACCAAGUUGACAUCACUUCUAGAAAGACACAAAAGCCUAUGGCAGAAAACAUUUCUGGAAAUUCAGUCAGUGACAUUAGAGUAGCUGCUUUUCAACAACAAAACUUUAAAAGCAACUAGGCUAUCAAAUUGUGGAACAAUGAAUCAAACUGAAUAGUGAUAAGUAUAGUCUCA